rnacentral:ncRNA from 1 species
UUAAACGCAGUGACGAGAAAAGUACUUCUAUCGAUUGCAACAACAGAGAGCCUGGCAGCUGAAAACAGGUUUGCAAAAGUAGAACGAAAAUGGCCUCCGAGCGGGAUACCAAGUGUCAGAUAAGACCAGACAUCAGGCUAUCAUGGGUGCACCCAUUAACGUGCUCGAGUAUCAGAACAAUCUGUUCUUGUACUUUAUAAGGAGUUAUUUGCGAAAAUAACUUAAACAAAGGUGGUAACACGAAUGUUCAAGCGUUCGUCCUUUAA